rnacentral:rRNA from 1 species
UACGGAGGGUGCAAGCGUUAUCCGGAAUCACUGGGCGUAAAGGGCGCGUAGGUGGUCUGUUAAGUCUGGCGUUAAAGCCUGGGGCUCAACCCCAGAUCAGCGUUGGAUACUGGCAGGCUAGACGGUUGGAGAGGCGAGUGGAAUUACCAGUGUAGCGGUGGAAUGCGUAGAUACUGGUAGGAACACCCAUUGCGAAGGCAGCUCGCUGGACAACACGUGACACUGAGGCGCGAAAGUGUGGGGAGCAAACCGGAUUAGAUACCCCCGUA